rnacentral:rRNA from 1 species
CUUGACACUGAACAUUGAGCCUUGAUGUGUAGGAUAGGUGGGAGGCUUUGAAGUGUGGACGCCAGUCUGCAUGGAGCCGACCUUGAAAUACCACCCUUUAAUGUUUGAUGUUCUAACGUGGACCCGUUAUCCGGGUUGCGGACAGUGUCUGGUGGGUAGUUUGACUGGGGCGGUCUCCUCCUAAAGAGUAACGGAGGAGCACGAAGGUUGGCUAAUCCUGGUCGGACAUCAGGAGGUUAGUGCAAUGGCAUAAGCCA